GACGAACGCUGGCGGCGUGCUUAACACAUGCAAGUCGAACGGAAAGGCCCUGCUUUUGUGGGGUGCUCGAGUGGCGAACGGGUGAGUAACACGUUAGUAACCUGCCCUUGACUUUGGGAUAACUUCAGGAAACUUGGGCUAAUACCGGAUAGGAGCUCCUGCUGCAUGGUGGGGGUUGGAAAGUUUCGGCGGUUGGGGAUGGACUCGCGGCUUAUCAGCUUGUUGGUGGGGUAGUGGCUUACCAAGGCUUUGACGGGUAGCCGGCAUUAGAGGGUGACCGGCCACAUUGGGACUGAGAUACGGACCAGACUCAUACGGGAGGCAGCAGUGGGGAAUAUUGCACAAUGGGCGGAAGCCUGAUGCAGCAACGCAGCGUGCGGGAUGACGGACUUCGGGUUGUAAACCGCUUUCGCCUGUGACGAAGCGUGAGUGACGGUAAUGGGUAAAGAAGCACAGGCUAACUACGUG
rnacentral:rRNA from 1 species